AUGUCAUAAAACUUUCAUUAAUUUUUGGUAUUAAAACAUAGGAUUUCUGAUUUAUCUUUUAAGGCAACACAUUUAAUAAAGAGCCUUCUUUAAGAAGAACUCUUUAUUUCUCAUGCUGAUUUGAGGUGGACGGUAAUUAUAUUUUUGCAUGGCUUUUGGUGAAUAUGGAGGAGUCUUUCUCUACUUGAAACUGAUCCAAGUUAGAUAAGGAUCCAAUCCAAAUUGACCCAAUCCCAUGAGGUCAAAGCCAACU
rnacentral:lncRNA from 1 species